rnacentral:rRNA from 1 species
AUGAACGCUAGCGAUAGGCUUCACACAUGCCAGUCGCGGGGCAGCAUGGUCUUAGCUUGCUAAGACUGAUGGCGACCGGCGCACGGGUGCGUAACGCGUAUGCAACUUGCCUCACAGAGGGGGAUAACCCGUCGAAAGACGGACUAAUACCGCGUACACUUGGGAUAGGGCAUCCUGACCCAAGGAAAUGAAAUUCGCUGUGAGAUAGGCAUGCGUCCCAUUAGCUAGUUGGUGAGGUAACGGCUCACCAAGGCGACGAUGGGUAGGGGAACUGAGAGGUUGAACCCCCACACUGGUACUGAGACACGGACCAGACUCCUACGGGAGGCAGCAGUGAGGAAUAUUGGUCAAUGGGCGAGAGCCUGAACCAGCCAAGUCGCGUGAAGGAUGACUGUCUUAUGGAUUGUAAACUUCUUUUAUACGGGAAUAACAAGAGCCACGUGUGGCUCCCUGCAUGUACCGUAUGAAUAAGCAUCGGCUAACUCCGUG